GGGCGGAGCCUCGGCCAUGUCCGCACGCGCCGGUUCGCGGCUGCUGCUGGCGGGAGCCCCGCGGCGACACCGGGUGUCCGGGCCGGACCCUGAGCGCCUCCGGCUCUUCCAGCGGCUGCGGGCGGCGGCGGCGGAGCGCUGGGACGGGCGCGGGGAUGGGGUCGGCGGCGGGGCCGGGGGCGGCCGCCUCCCACCGGGGACCCCGAUCCGCAUCGCGCUGCCCGGCGGGCGCCGCCUGCCCGGCCGGGCCCUGCAAACCACCCCGUUCCAGGUGGCCACGGAGCUCGGGGCUGGCCUGGCCGAGGUGGCCUUGGUGGCCCGGGUGAACGGGACCCUCCAGGACCUGGACCGGCCGCUGGAAGGUGACACCGACUUGGAGCUGCUCGACUUCUCCACGCCUGAGGGGCGGGAGGCUUUCUGGCGCUCCAGUGCCUGUGUCCUGGGGGCGGUGGCAGAGCAGUUUUUCGGGGCGACGCUUUGCAGCACCCGGGCCACCGAGGAUGGCUUCUUCUGCGAUGUGCACAUGGGCAGCAGGACGGUGCAGAGCACGGAGCUGCCGGUGCUGGAGGAGGCCUGUGCCACGUUCGCCCGUGCCCGGCACCGCUUCGAGCGCCUCGAGGCCACCCGCCAGCAGCUGGCUGAGCUGCUCAAGCACAACUCCUUCCAGCUGCAGCAGCUCGAGGAGGUGACGUCCCCCACGGCCACGGUCUACAGGUGUGGCCCCCUGCUCCAGCUGUGCCACGGGCCCCUCCUGCGGCACACGGGGCUGAUCGGAGCCCUGCGGGUGCUCACGAGCUCGGCUGCGCUGUGGGGGGGAGCUGGGGGUCAGUCACUGCAGCGUGUGGCCGCCGUGGCCUUCCCCAGUGCCCAGGAGCUGGAGCAGUGGGAGCGGGCCCAGGAGGAGGCGGCUCAGCGGGAUCACCGCCGGAUCGGCAAGGAUCAGGAGCUCUUCUUCUUCCACAAGUUCAGCCCUGGCAGCUGCUUCUUCCUGCCCCGCGGUGCCCACGUCUACAACACCCUCGUGGAGUUCAUCCGGAGCGAGUACCGGGCCAGGGGCUUCAGCGAGGUGGUGACCCCCAACCUGUUCAGCCCCCGGCUCUGGGAGCUCUCGGGGCACUGGCAGCACUACAGCCCCCACAUCUUCUCUGUCCCUGCCACCCCUGAGACCCUCUCCCUCAAACCCAUGAACUGCCCGGCCCACUGCCUGAUGUUCGCCCACCGGCCGCGCUCCUGGCGGGAGCUGCCCCUACGCCUGGCGGAUUUCGGGGUCCUGCACCGCAACGAGCCCCCCGGGACCCUGACGGGGCUGACGCGGGUCCGGCGCUUCCAGCAGGAUGAUGCCCACAUUUUCUGCACCCUGGAGCAGCUGGAGAGCGAGAUCGAUUCCUCCCUGGAUUUCAUCCGCGCCGUUUACGCCGUCCUGGGCUUUUCCUUCCGCCUGGCCCUGGCCACGCGUCCCGAUGGAUUCCUGGGGGACCCUGAAACUUGGGAUCGUGCUGAGCAGCAGCUGGAGCGGAGCCUGAAGAAUUUCGGGCAGCCCUGGGAGCUGAGUCCGGGGGACGGAGCCUUUUAUGGGCCCAAGAUCGAUAUCCGGAUCAGGGAUGCUCUGGGGAGGCACCACCAGUGUGGCACCAUCCAGCUGGAUUUCCAGAUGCCCGAGAGAUUCGAGCUGGAAUAUGCCAGCCCCAGUGGGAGCCCGGCACGGCCGGUGCUGAUCCAUCGGGCCGUGCUGGGCUCCGUGGAGCGCAUGGUGGCCGUGCUGGCCGAGAGCUACGGCGGGAGAUGUGACCCCUGGUGCCCCCCAGGCCGCUCUGGCUGUCCCCUCUGCAGGCCAUGGUCAUCCCACAGAGCCCUGAGGUCGAGGACUAUGCCCGGGAGGUGCAGGCAGUGCUGAGGAGGGGGGGCCUCCUGGCUGACCUGGAUGGGGACCCCGGGACCACCCUGGCACGGAAGAUCCGUCGGGCCCAACUCGCCCACUACAACUUCCAGUUGGUGGUGGGGCGGCGGGAGCGGCAGCGCGGCACGGUCAGCGUCCGGAGCCGGGAGAACCGGCAGCUCGGCGAGCUGGAGCUGCCCCGGGUGCUGCAGCGGCUGCAGGAGCUGAGGGACGGCCGCGUCCCCGACGCCGAGCAGCGCUUCUGACCCCACCCCCCAACUCUUCUCGGGGGGCCCUGGGACCCCCCAACUCAAUAAACCGCUGGGAAAAGCGC